rnacentral:tRNA from 1 species
AUUUAAGUAGUUUAAGAAAAAUAUUAAUUUGUGGAAUUAAUGUUAUAAUCCAUUUAUAGUUAUCUUAAAUU